rnacentral:rRNA from 1 species
UACGAAGGGGGCUAGCGUUGCUCGGAAUGACUGGGCGUAAAGGGCGCGUAGGCGGUUCGUACAGUCAGACGUGAAAUUCCCGGGCUCAACCUGGGGGCUGCGUUUGAUACGUGCAGGCUUGAGUUCGGAAGAGGGUCGUGGAAUUCCCAGUGUAGAGGUGAAAUUCGUAGAUAUUGGGAAGAACACCGGUGGCGAAGGCGGCGACCUGGUCCGAUACUGACGCUGAGGCGCGAAAGCGUGGGGAGCAAACAGG